AGACAAGUAAAUACAUAAACAUCGGCAUCGACCAGACGAGACGAUACCAGGGAGACUCCGAUCUUGAGUUUGAUAGGGUUAAUGUCUACCACAACGAAGUGAGCUGUGGGAGGUACGUUCCUCGCGCUGUUCUCAUGGAUUGGAGGCUGGAACCAUGGAAAGCGUUAGAUCUGGUCCUUAGUCCUUACGGUCAGAUCAUCCGUCUCGAUAACUUCGUGUUCGGUCAAUCCGGUGCGGAGAAUAACUGGGCAAAAGGUCACUCCACGGAGGGUGCUGAGAUUAUCGACUCGGUCCUUGAUAUUGUUCGCAAAGAGGCCGAGAGCUGUGACUGCCUUCAAGGGUUUCAGGUGUGCCAUUUUCCUUAGGAGAAGGAACUGGUUCUGGUAUGGGGACUUUGUUGAUUUCGAAGAUCAGGGAGGAGUACCCGGUCCCUAUGAUGCUGACGUUCUCUGUGUUCCCGUCUCCCAAGGUUUCUGACACUGUGGUAGAGCCAUACAACGUAACACUCUCUGUGCAUCAGCUCGCUUAGCUCGUUUUCAACGCUGAUGAAUGUAUGGUGCUUGAUAAUGAAGCACUGUGUGAUAUUUGUCUCCGUACCCUCAAGCUUAGCUCUCCAAGCUUUGGUGAUCUGAACUACUUGAUCUCCGCAAUGUCUGGUGUAACCUGCACCUUAGGUUCCCAGGUCAGCUCAACUCUGAAGUCUCUGGUCUCCGAAAUCUUGAUGUGAAUUUGAUCCCAUUCCCUCGUCUUCACUUCUUCAUGUUAGGAUUUGCUCCUCUCACCUCUCGUGGUUCUCAGCGGUACCGUAACCUCACCGUCCCAGAACUGACCAGCAAAUGUGGGAUGCCAAGAACGUGAUGUGUGCUGCUGACCCAAGACACGGCCGCUAUCUCAUUGCCUCAGCUACGUUCCGCGGCAAAAUGAGCACCAAAGAAGUUGAUGAACAGAUGCUGAACGUGAAGAACAAGAAGUCCUCCUACUUCGUUGAGUGGACCCCCAAUAAUGUCAAGUCAACAAUUGUUUUUAAAUAUAGUUUUUGUAACUAUAUCGGUUUCAUUAGUAGUUAUGUACUCGGCGUAGACUGGCCAAGGGAUUUUAUCAAACAUUUUUUUUGCUUAAA